CACUAUCGUUAACUGAAUACAUAGGUUAACGAGGCGAACCGGGGGAACUGAAACAUCUAAGUACCCCGAGGAAAAGAAAUCAACCGAGAUUCCCCCAGUAGCGGCGAGCGAACGGGGAGCAGCCCAGAGUCUGAAUCAGCUUGUGUGUUAGUGGAACGGUCUGGAAAGUCCGACGGUACAGGGUGAUAGUCCCGUACACCAAAAUGCACAGGUUGUGAACUCGAAGAGUAGGGCGGGACACGUGGUAUCCUGUCUGAAUAUGGGGGGACCAUCCUCCAAGGCUAAAUACUCCUGACUGACCGAUAGUGAACCAGUACCGUGAGGGAAAGGCGAAAAGAACCCCGGCGAGGGGAGUGAAAAAGAACCUGAAACCGUGUACGUACAAGCAGUGGGAGCACCUUCGGGUGUGACUGCGUACCUUUUGUAUAAUGGGUCAGCGACUUAUAUUCUGUAGCAAGGUUAACCGUAUAGGGGAGCCGCAGGGAAACCGAGUCUUAACUGGGCGUUAAGUUGCAGGGUAUAGACCCGAAACCCGGUGAUCUAGCCAUGGGCAGGUUGAAGGUUGGGUAACACUAACUGGAGGACCGAACCGACUAAUGUUGAAAAAUUAGCGGAUGACUUGUGGCUGGGGGUGAAAGGCCAAUCAAACCGGGAGAUAGCUGGUUCUCCCCGAAAGCUAUUUAGGUAGCGCCUCGUGAACUCAUCUUCGGGGGUAGAGCACUGUUUCGGCUAGGGGGUCAUCCCGACUUACCAACCCGAUGCAAACUACGAAUACCGAAGAAUGUUAUCACGGGAGACACACGGCGGGUGCUAACGUCCGUCGUGAAGAGGGAAACAACCCAGACCGCCAGCUAAGGUCCCAAAGUCAUGGUUAAGUGGGAAACGAUGUGGGAAGGCACAGACAGCCAGGAUGUUGGCUUAGAAGCAGCCAUCAUUUAAAGAAAGCGUAAUAGCUCACUGGUCGAGUCGGCCUGCGCGGAAGAUGUAACGGGGCUAAACCAUGCACCGAAGCUGCGGCAGCGACACUAUGUGUUGUUGGGUAGGGGAGCGUUCUGUAAGCCUGCGAAGGUGUGCUGUGAGGCAUGCUGGAGGUAUCAGAAGUGCGAAUGCUGACAUAAGUAACGAUAAAGCGGGUGAAAAGCCCGCUCGCCGGAAGACCAAGGGUUCCUGUCCAACGUUAAUCGGGGCAGGGUGAGUCGACCCCUAAGGCGAGGCCGAAAGGCGUAGUCGAUGGGAAACAGGUUAAUAUUCCUGUACUUGGUGUUACUGCGAAGGGGGGACGGAGAAGGCUAUGUUAGCCGGGCGACGGUUGUCCCGGUUUAAGCAUGUAGGCUGAUUGUCCAGGCAAAUCCGGAUAAUCAAGGCUGAGGUGUGAUGACGAGGCACUACGGUGCUGAAGUAACAAAUGCCCUGCUUCCAGGAAAAGCCUCUAAGCAUCAGGUAACAUCAAAUCGUACCCCAAACCGACACAGGUGGUCAGGUAGAGAAUACCAAGGCGCUUGAGAGAACUCGGGUGAAGGAACUAGGCAAAAUGGUGCCGUAACUUCGGGAGAAGGCACGCUGGUGUGUAGGUGAAGCCCCUGCGGGUGGAGCUGAGACCAGUCGAAGAUACCAGCUGGCUGCAACUGUUUAUUAAAAACACAGCACUGUGCAAACACGAAAGUGGACGUAUACGGUGUGACGCCUGCCCGGUGCCGGAAGGUUAAUUGAUGGGGUUAUCCGUAAGGAGAAGCUCUUGAUCGAAGCCCCGGUAAACGGCGGCCGUAACUAUAACGGUCCUAAGGUAGCGAAAUUCCUUGUCGGGUAAGUUCCGACCUGCACGAAUGGCGUAAUGAUGGCCAGGCUGUCUCCACCCGAGACUCAGUGAAAUUGAACUCGCUGUGAAGAUGCAGUGUACCCGCGGCAAGACGGAAAGACCCCGUGAACCUUUACUAUAGCUUGACACUGAACAUUGAGCCUUGAUGUGUAGGAUAGGUGGGAGGCUUUGAAGCGUGGACGCCAGUCUGCGUGGAGCCAACCUUGAAAUACCACCCUUUAAUGUUUGAUGUUCUAACGUUGGCCCCUUACCGGGGUUGCGGACAGUGUCUGGUGGGUAGUUUGACUGGGGCGGUCUCCUCCCAAAGCGUAACGGAGGAGCACGAAGGUUAGCUAAUCCUGGUCGGACAUCAGGAGGUUAGUGCAAUGGCAUAAGCUAGCUUGACUGCGAGCGUGACGGCGCGAGCAGGUGCGAAAGCAGGUCAUAGUGAUCCGGUGGUUCUGAAUGGAAGGGCCAUCGCUCAACGGAUAAAAGGUACUCCGGGGAUAACAGGCUGAUACCGCCCAAGAGUUCAUAUCGACGGCGGUGUUUGGCACCUCGAUGUCGGCUCAUCACAUCCUGGGGCUGAAGUAGGUCCCAAGGGUAUGGCUGUUCGCCAUUUAAAGUGGUACGCGAGCUGGGUUUAGAACGUCGUGAGACAGUUCGGUCCCUAUCUGCCGUGGGCGCUGGAGAAUUGAGGGGGGCUGCUCCUAGUACGAGAGGACCGGAGUGGACGCAUCACUGGUGUUCGGGUUGUCAUGCCAAUGGCACUGCCCGGUAGCUAAAUGCGGAAGAGAUAAGUGCUGAAAGCAUCUAAGCACGAAACUUGCCCCGAGAUGAGUUCUCCCUGAGACUUUAAGUCUCCUGAAGGAACGUUGAAGACGACGACGUUGAUAGGCCGGGUGUGUAAGCGCAGCGAUGCGUUGAGCUAACCGGUACUAAUGAACCGUGAGGCUUAACCUUACAACGCCGAAG
rnacentral:rRNA from 1 species